AUACGGAGGAUGCGAGCGUUAUCCGGAUUUAUUGGGUUUAAAGGGUGCGUAGGCGGUUUGUCAAGUCAGCGGUCAAACUGCGGGGCUUAACCUCGUAUUGCCGUUGAAACUGGCUGACUAGCGUGGCGUCGAGGUGUGCGGAAUGCGUUGUGUAGCGGUGAAAUGCAUAGAUAUGACGCAGAACUCCGAUUGCGAAGGCAGCACACCGGGCGCCUACGGACGCUGAGGCACGAAAGCGUGGGUAUC
rnacentral:rRNA from 1 species